GAUGAACGCUGGCGGCGUGCCUAAUACAUGCCAGUCGAACGAACAGACGAGGAGCUUGCUCCUCUGACGUUAGCGGCGGACGGGUGAGUAACACGUGGAUAACCUACCUAUAAGACUGGGAUAACUUCGGGAAACCGGAGCUAAUACCGGAUAAUAUAUUGAACCGCAUGGUUCAAUAGUGAAAGACGGUUUUGCUGUCACUUAUAGAUGGAUCCGCGCCGCAUUAGCUAGUUGGUAAGGUAACGGCUUACCAAGGCGACGAUGCGUAGCCGACCUGAGAGGGUGAUCGGCCACACUGGAACUGAGACACGGUCCAGACUCCUACGGGAGGCAGCAGUAGGGAAUCUUCCGCAAUGGGCGAAAGCCUGACGGAGCAACGCCGCGUGAGUGAUGAAGGUCUUCGGAUCGUAAAACUCUGUUAUUAGGGAAGAACAAAUGUGUAAGUAACUAUGCACGUCUUGACGGUACCUAAUCAGAAAGCCACGGCUAACUACGUG
rnacentral:rRNA from 1 species